rfam:Rattus norvegicus chromosome 7, whole genome shotgun sequence.
GGGGAUUUAGCUUAGCGGUAGAGCGCUUGCCUAGCAAGCGCAAGGCCCUGGGUUCGAUCCCCAGCUCCG